UCCAUCAUCCAUAUUUCUGCUCUUAGUUCUUUAGUUGCUUUAUAAUGUGUCAGCAGUAAUCAGCCCUGCUGUAUUAUAUAUUGUACUUGAUUGUUGAUACCUAAUUAAUUAACUGUUUACGAUGGCAGUUAUGGCGGAUGAUGAUUAAUCACUCUACAAUCGCCUGUCACGUGACUUCUUCAACCCGUUCUGUAGAUGGCCCUAAACAACUAUAUUCGAACCCCGGAAACCAUAACCCUCUAAUCAGAUCCCAACCCUAACGGCCUAACCCUAACCAAAUCCUUUACAAAAGCAUAUACUGAAACACUAUAGAGAAAUUAUACGGUCAUAUCACGUGAUCGAGACAGUUUUUCGCCAAUAUCUCGUUAGGGGAGAAUUUUAACCUUAUGUCAUGGGGGUAAUAGCAAAUUUUAGUUAAAGAGUAAAUCAAAGUUAGCAAUCAUUGAACUCAAUAGUUAAAAAGGAGAAGCUAAAAGCGCUGAAAGACCAAGGAGCUGUUGAAUCAGCACGCUGAAGAAGUACAGAGACUGGCGAACAAGCUGAUAAACUCAGACAGCAGCAAAAACUUCAAUAGUUAUGGUAGGCGAUGCACCAGUUGACAUAAUUCUAAGAAUGACUGUAACUGCGUAUACUGAUCUCAAACUCGAAGUAACAUCCCAAGAUGAACUACUAUUUUUAAUCGUGCAUGAGAAACUAAAGUAUUAUGAUAGGGGGCUUUUUAAAAAGUUACUGACAUGACGCUGGUCCUCACUUUUUGGAGUCUCUACUCCCUCAUUUCCAGGCUGAACAGGAAGCUGUACAACAACCGGUCUGACAAGUUACAAGUGGUGGACCUACAUCAUCUAGAUGUACAGGUAUAAAUUCUACUAGUACGAUUCGAUGCAGUGGAAGAGGUUGAAGUUGACGUUUAAGCAGUCACCCUGCCGAACAAGAAAUCAGUCAGGCAAAGAGGCUAGGUUGACUAAAAACUCAAUCACUGUAUCCGUGAAACUUGCUGGAAGCUAUGAGUAUCGGUCAUCAGACACUAAAGAGGACCAAUUAUUCUAUGUUCUACAUCUUCAAUGAUUAAUAAAGAUCUCGGAUUGCUCCUACUAAUGCAUGAUGUGUUAAAAUGAAAGAGAAAGAGAAACCACUCAUUUAUGAUUUACUUUUAGUAUUAUGUCUUAACAAUGAUAUUGAAGUUGAUCUUAAAAACUGUCUAUGAACCCUUGCUAAAUGAUUUGGGAAGGUGUUAGGGCUAAAUAUACCUGUAGACAUCACUUUCAGUGAUUUUUAUGAAAUUAA